CCUACGGGAGGCAGCAGUGGGGAAUUUUGGACAAUGGGCGAAAGCCUGAUCCAGCAAUGCCGCGUGCAGGAUGAAGGCCUUCGGGUUGUAAACUGCUUUUGUACGGAACGAAAAAGCUCCUUCUAAUACAGGGGGCCCAUGACGGUACCGUAAGAAUAAGCACCGGCUAACUACGUGCCAGCAGCCGCGGUAAUACGUAGGGUGCGAGCGUUAAUCGGAAUUACUGGGCGUAAAGCGUGCGCAGGCGGUUAUGUAAGACAGAUGUGAAAUCCCCGGGCUCAACCUGGGAACUGCAUUUGUGACUGCAUGGCUAGAGUACGGUAGAGGGGGAUGGAAUUCCGCGUGUAGCAGUGAAAUGCGUAGAUAUGCGGAGGAACACCGAUGGCGAAGGCAAUCCCCUGGACCUGUACUGACGCUCAUGCACGAAAGCGUGGGGAGCAAACAGGAUUAGAUACCCUGGUAGUCCACGCCCUAAACGAUGUCAACUGGUUGUUGGGAAUUAGUUUUCUCAGUAACGAAGCUAACGCGUGAAGUUGACCGCCUGGGGAGUACGGCCGCAAGGUUGAAACUCAAAUGAAUUGACGGGG
rnacentral:rRNA from 1 species